GGGCGAAAGGGAGGGAUACAGCAAGAGAGAGAGAAAGAGCCGUCCACAGGCGUGUGGGGGAAGAAAAGGAAAGAAAUGGCUUAUUUAUAAAAUAGUCACGGUUCUGGAAGCUUCCGAAUAUGAAUGUGAUCCAUUACAGAUAAAAAGGACAUGGACAUGAUAUGGAUAAGAAUGAACAUCACACUUUUAAUGCACAUUCUUCAGACCAGGUCUCCUCCUCCUUUUUUCUAAAAAAAAACUCCCAGUAGAAGCAGCAGUGGAAGCAGACUGAUCCUGUAGAGCUGAAUUCACUCGCUUUCCAACACUGCCACUGCUGGAGCCCAGCCUACACUGCAGAGCUGUAUAUUACAUUUCUGGAAGAGUUCUCCAGUGGUUGACCAGUAAUGAAUCUCUUAUUCAGUUAAAGAUGGACCAGAGAGAUGUUUGUUGUAAGUCAUCACCUGCAAUAAAAAGUCACAUUAACAAACAUCUA
rnacentral:lncRNA from 1 species